rnacentral:rRNA from 1 species
GAUGAACGCUGGCGGCGUGCCUAAUACAUGCAAGUCGAGCGGUAAGGCCCCUUCGGGGGUACACGAGCGGCGGACGGCUGAGUAACGCGUAGGAACAUACCCCAAAGUGAGGGAUAACUCCGGGAAACCGGAGCUAAUACCGCAUGUGGUCUAAGGAUUAAAGCUUUAUGCGCUUUGGGAAUGGCCUGCGUAAGAUUAGCUUGUUGGUGAGGUAAUGGCUCACCAAGGCGACGAUCUUUAGCUGGUCUGAGAGGAUGAUCAGCCAGACUGGGACUGAGACACGGCCCAGACUCCUACGGGAGGCAGCAGUAGGGAAUUUUCCACAAUGGACGAAAGUCUGAUGGAGCAACGCCGCGUGCAGGAUGAAUGCCUUCGGGUUGUAAACUGCUUUUAUCUGUGACGAUUAUGACGUUACUCGCAGAAUAAGCACCGGCUAACUACGUGCCAGCCGCCGCAGUAACAC